UCCACGCCCUAAACGAUGGAUACUAGUCAUUGGUGGCUUCGACCCCCCCAGUGACGAAGCUAACGCGUUAAGUAUCCCGCCUGGGGAGUACGGUCGCAAGACUAAAACUCAAAGGAAUUGACGGGGACCCGCACAAGCGGUGGAGCAUGUGGUUUAAUUGGAUGGUAAGCCGGGCACCUCACCAAGAUUUGACAUCCUGAUGAAAGGCACUAGAAAUAGAGCCCCUCGCAAGACAUCAGAGACAGGUGCUGCACGGUUGUCGUCAGCUCGUGUUGUGAAAUGUACCGUUAAGUCGGAUAACGAGCGCAACCCCUUUUGCCAGUUACAAGUGUCUGGCGAUACUGCCGUGGUUAACACGGAGGAAGGUGGGGAUGACGUCAAAUCAGCGUGGCCUUUAUAUCUUGGGCGACACACGUGCUACA
rnacentral:rRNA from 1 species